UACGGGAGGCAGCAGUGGGGAAUAUUGCACAAUGGGCGCAAGCCUGAUGCAGCCAUGCCGCGUGUAUGAAGAAGGCCUUCGGGUUGUAAAGUACUUUCAGCAGUGAGGAAGGUGGAUAUGUUAAUAGCAUAUUCAUUUGACGUUAGCUGCAGAAGAAGCACCGGCUAACUCCGUGCCAGCAGCCGCGGUAAUACGGAGGGUGCGAGCGUUAAUCGGAAUUACUGGGCGUAAAGCGCAUGCAGGUGGUUUGUUAAGUCAGAUGUGAAAGCCCGGGGCUCAACCUCGGAAUUGCAUUUGAAACUGGCAAACUAGAGUACUGUAGAGGGGGUAGAAUUUCAGGUGUAGCGGUGAAAUGCGUAGAGAUCUGAAGGAAUACCGGUGGCGAAGGCGGCCCCCUGGACAGAUACUGACACUCAGAUGCGAAAGCGUGGGGAGCAAACAGGAUUAUAUACCCUGGUAG
rnacentral:rRNA from 1 species